rnacentral:rRNA from 1 species
ACUCCUACGGGAGGCAGCAGUGGGGAAUAUUGGAUAAUGGGGGCAACCCUGAUCCAGCCAUGCCGCGUGAGUGAAGAAGGCCCUAGGGUCGUAAAGCUCUUUCAAACUGUGAAGAUAAUGACGGUAGCAGUAGAAGAAACCCCGGCUAACUCCGUGCCAGCAGCCGCGGUAAUACGGAGGGGUUAGCGUUGUUCGGAAUUACUGGGCGUAAAGCGCACGUAGGCGGACUAUUAAGUUAGAGGUGAAAUCCCAGGGCUCAACCCUGGAACUGCCUUUAAUACUGGUAGUCUUGAGUUCGAGAGAGGUGAGUGGAAUUCCGAGUGUAGAGGUGAAAUUCGUAGAGUAUUCGAGGAACACCAGUGGCGAAGGCGGCAUCACUGGCUCGAUACUGACGCUGAGGUGCGAAAGUGUGGGGAGCAAACAGGAUUAGAUACCCUGGUAGGUGA